GUGUGGGAGGGGGACGCUGCGGGAAUUUGAGGGAGAAAGGGGUGGGAAAGCAGUGUGGGAACUGAGGGAGGGGGAACGCAGGCUGGGCAAGGAGACAGUCUAGGGGUUGUACUGAGAACUGAGGGUCCGGAUGGUGGGGCAGGUGACUGGGGGGUGUGAGGGAAGCUUUGGUGGGACAGGAUCCAAUUGGGGUGGGGGAGAGGGGUGGUGUGGGAUCAGAGGUCAGAGUGCAUGUUGGCGGGGGAAAGGGACAGUGCUUGUGUACAGAGACAUCUGAGAUCUGGGAACAGAGUUAGCAAGAGUGCAGAGAUGGAGCCGGCCGUGCUGCAGCAGCAGUGCAUGAAGGACAGACCGCGGGGCGGGUGGGAGAAGGGCGGGCAGCACACGGCCCAUCCAUCGCCACAGACACCGCCUCAGCCGCCCCGGGGCUCCGCCGCCGCGCACCGCCCGUGCCUCGCGCUCUCCCCUCAGGCACAAAAUGGCGGCGGCACUCAGCGCCUCGUUCCCGCGCGGUGGCAGCGGAGUAGGAACCUUCGCGGCGCGGAACUCGCGGGCGCGGGGAGCCGUUUCCGGGCCGGCCCCGCCGCCAUGGCCGAGGGCUCGGCGGAGCUGGAGCUGUUCCGCCGGCGAUGGCGGGAGGAGCUGGCGGCAGGCGGCAAGAAGCGGAGGCGGGAGGCGGCGGAGGGGCCCGGCGGGACGGGGAGAGACGGGUCGGGCUGCCUGGCGUUGGCCUGCGGCCUGCUGGACGGCGAGAGCCCGGCUCCGAGCAGCCCUCCGCCCGCCCGGCCCCGCGAGGAGGCCGCGAGGGAUGAGGCCGACGACCUGCUGGGACAGCUCAUCCGAGACCUGAAUGAGAUCAAUGAGGUUCCUUUCUUUGAUGUCCAUCUGCCAUAUGAACUGGCAUUGAAGAUAUUUCAGUAUCUGGGAAAGGCUGAACUGGGAAAGUGUGCUCAGGUCAGCAGAACAUGGAAAGUGCUCGCAGAAGAUGAAGUGCUGUGGUACCGGCUGUGCCAACAGGAAGGAUACCUGUUGGGUGUGAGCAUCUCUGAUCGGCCCUGCUGGAAGCUGGCCCUGAAGGACUGCCGUGCCAAAGAGCGUGCUCUGCGAACCAACUGGAAGAACCGCAGUGGUGCUGUGAGUCAGCUGCAAUACGAGCUGGGAAAAAUCCUGUGUGAUGUGCAUUCUUGUGAUGGAGUUGUUAUUGCUGGAUACACAUCGGGGGAAGUGAGGUUGUGGGACACGCGCACCUGGGACUACACAGCCCCCAUCCUGGAACCAGUGCAGGGUCCUGGUGAUGCUGGACCUCAGCCACAUGUCUCCUUUGUGAGGAUAAACAGCUCUCUGGCUGUAGCAGCUUACGAGGAUGGUACUGUGAGCGUUUGGAGCCUGAUGGUGGGGCGCGAGCCAAUCCAUCGCUACCAGCAUAACCAGAGGAUACAGGCUUUAGCUCUGGGUUCCAAGGGUGCAACAGUAGCGACAGCAUCUGGCUUAGAGGUCAAGGUGGAAAGCCCUGAUGACAGGGGAUUCUGGCAAACUACAGGAACGUUCGAAAUCCAGAAGUUGGUGAACUUCCUUCAUCUGGUUCCAGAGGUCUGGGACAGUCCGGUGGCAGUAGCAGCUGCAGAAGAUGUUGUCUAUCUGCUGAAAGGAGAAGACCCUGGGAAAAUCCUUCAUUCUGUCUAUGGUCAGCCUGUCACAUGUCUUGAUGUCUCUGCUCAUGAAGCAGCCUUUGGGGUCAAAGGCUUUGGCUGGAUACUGAAUGAGCCCAACCAGGUUUUGAAGUUCAUUUGCAGACCAGGACUGAAGUUCAACUGGGAGCUGGGUGGAAAUCACAGGAAGCACCUUCCUACCAAGUGGUUGGGCUCAUCUGCAUUGUUAACAUUUGUAAAAAGCAAUCUUUCAAAGACUGGAGUCUGACAUGAAUUGAGGAAGCUCAAAACAAAAGCUUUUAUAGCAGCUUUGUGGAUCUGAAACGUUAUUUCUACAGAUUCUAAUAGAUGGAAACAUUUUGGAAGUGAUGGGCAGCAGCAUGUUAGGUGAGGAGAAACCAGUCAUUUUUUGUUUGGGCUGCACGUAGGAGAGUAGCGCAGGUCUAAAACUGGACCACAAGCAGGAAGGGAUGGAACAUUUGCUCAGAUUUUAAGCAGCAAAACUUCGAAUGCUACGUGCAAGCAAUUCAUCUUCAUGGUCUUCCAUGGUCAUCGCUGCUCAAGUGUGUAUCAGAUGUUGAUAGGAGAGACAGAAGUGCUGGUCGUUUAGGUAAAUUAAUAGGCUUUGGAUGUUCAUGGUAAGUGGUAUUCCCAGGGGACUUUGGAGAAAGCAGCAUUUGCCCCUCUCCUCUCCAGAGCUGUAAGCAGAGCUGGCAGGGCAGCUUGCAGGGCACACACUGGGAGCUGCAGUGUUGCUGUUGAGCCCAUCGUCUGUCAUUUGCACGCUGAGUUCAGCAGUGUGUUCACUUUGUAUUUUUCCAACAAAACCUCCCAAAGAGAAAUCUGGUUGCAAGGCAGAGAUGCUCAUUUUCUUGCACUGAGAAUUCUGCAAAUUGCCAGAAUGUGGUUCACCCUAUCUUUGGUUAGGGAGGUGCUGGGAGCUGUUGUGUGCGUGUUGUUUUUUAUCUUGAUGACAAACACUUCCAGUUUGUAGCAGCUACUUUAUUGGAAUGGAAGUUUACAUUAUUUUAACAGCUUUCAAGUCUCCCUGCAAAGGCAGAAUCUCUUACUGUACAGAGAUACGGUGAAAUUGCUUUGGUUUGUGUUUCUUGUUUUGGUCUCAGGGAUGAAAAAACACGUGCUAGAAUUGGUAUUUGUGGCAAGCAAUUUGUACAGCACUAUACUGUAGGAAAAGGGAACUGGUUAGGAGAUGAUAAAUGUAAGUAACUGAGUGUAUUGGAUAUGAGUGUCUUCAUUCUAGUGGAGAACUUGAUAAUUUAUGUGGAUAAAACUCUGCGUUUCUUUUCACUGGAAGAAAUGGGGGCAGGAGAAAGCCUGCAACAUCUUUGCUUUAUUCCUAGAGGUUUGGAGACAUCCAUCACAGAAUGAUCUCCUGCUCUCUUAAUUCAACCUUUCAGAUGCAUCUUCAAAUUGCACGGUGAGGGAGUGAAAGGGCAGACAGCAUCACGUCACUGCUCUGCUGAGCGUGGAAGCAGUGUGCUCUGACAGUGUAAUAUUUCUUGAACCGUGUGAGGAUGUAAUCAGAAAAGCACAAGGGAGUGCCUGUAUGUUGGCUGCGAUAGAACAGUGAGAAACGAGCCCUGCAAAGCAGCUCUGAUGGCGGUGACUGCGCUCUGCUUCCCACUGCACCAAAAGGUGGCUGUGCUCACGCUGCAUUUAGCCAGUGUUUGUUCUGU